rnacentral:rRNA from 1 species
AGUGAACGCUGGCGGUAGGCCUAACACAUGCAAGUCGAACGGCAGCACAGGAGAGCUUGCUCUCUGGGUGGCGAGUGGCGGACGGGUGAGGAAUACAUCGGAAUCUACUCUGUCGUGGGGGAUAACGUAGGGAAACUUACGCUAAUACCGCAUACGACCUACGGGUGAAAGCAGGGGAUCUUCGGACCUUGCGCGAUUGAAUGAGCCGAUGUCGGAUUAGCUAGUUGGCGGGGUAAAGGCCCACCAAGGCGACGAUCCGUAGCUGGUCUGGGAGGAUGAUCAGCCCAACUGGAACUGAGACACGGUCCAGACUACUACGGGAGGCAGCAGUGGGGAAUAUUGGACAAUGGGCGCAAGCCUGAUCCAGCCAUACCGCGUGGGUGAAGAAGGCCUUCGGGUUGUAAAGCCCUUUUGUUGGGAAAGAAAUCCAGCUGGCUAAUACCCGGUUGGGAUGACGGUACCCAAAGAAUAAGCACCGGCUAACUUCGUGCCAGCCGCCGCGGUAA